rnacentral:rRNA from 1 species
AGAGUUUGAUCAUGGCUCAGAUUCAACGCUGGCGGUAUGCUUAACACAUGCAAGUCGAACGGUAACAGUCCCUCACCUAGAAAUUUCUUAAAAAGAGAUUUGUAGGUGGGGGAGCUGACGAGUGGCGGACGGGUGCGUAAUGUAUAGGAAUCUGCCUAGCAGUGGGGGACAACUCGGAGAAAUUCGAGCUAAUACCGCAUAAGCCCUACGGGGGAAAACGGGGGAUCUUCGGACCUCGUGCUAUUAGAUGAGCCUAUAUUAGAUUAGCUUGUUGGUGAGGUAAUGGCUCACCAAGGCGACGAUCUAUAGCUGGUCUGAGAGGAUGAUCAGCCACACUGGGACUGAGACACGGCCCAGACUCCUACGGGAGGCAGCAGUGGGGAAUAUUGGACAAUGGGCGAAAGCCUGAUCCAGCAAUACCGCGUGUGUGAAGAAGGCCUGAGGGUUGUAAAGCACUUUCAAUUGGGAGGAAUACCUAAUAGUUAAUAGCUAUUAGAUUGAC